ACCAACCCAAACAGAACGGUGAUGCAUCAGGCGAGGGCUCGUCAGAGACCAGAACCUUGCCAUCCUCGGAAUCUGACGAGGUUGUACCCAAAAGGAAAAA